GGUUUUGAAACACUAAAUUGCAAACUUAGUAAAGUGGCCUAUUACUACCCUAACCU
rnacentral:tRNA from 1 species